rnacentral:rRNA from 1 species
CUGCAUGAAGUUGGAAUCACUAGUAAUCGCGGAUCAGCAUGCCGCGGUGAAUGCGUUCUCGGGCCUUGUACACACCGCCCGUCACACCAUGAGAGUCGGGAACACCCGAAGUCCGUAGCCUAACCGCAAGGGGGCGCGGCCGAAGGUGGGCUCGAUAAUUGGGGUGAAGUCGUAACAAGGUACC